rnacentral:rRNA from 1 species
CAGAGGGGGCAAGCGUUGUUCGGAAUUACUGGGCGUAAAGGGCGCGUAGGCGGCCUGUUAAGUCGAACGUGAAAUCCCUGGGCUCAACCCAGGAACUGCGUCCGAUACUGGCAGGCUUGAAUCCGGGAGAGGGAUGUGGAAUUCCAGGUGUAGCGGUGAAAUGCGUAGAUAUCUGGAGGAACACCGGUGGCGAAGGCGGCAUCCCGGACCGGUAUUGACGCUGAGGCGCGAAAGCCAGGGGAGCAAACGGG